UCAAAGAUUAAGCCAAGCAUGUCUAAGUAUAUAGCAAUUUGUACUGUGAAACUGCGAAUGGCUCAUUAAAUCAGUUAUAGUUUAUUUGAUAGUACCUUUAUACCUGGAUACCUGUGGUAAUUCUAGAGAUAAUACAUGCUAAAAACCUGGACCUUCGGAAGGGGUGUAUUUAUUAGAUAAAAAACCAACGCCCUUCGGGGCUCCUUGGUGAAUCAUAAUAACUAAGCGAAUCGCAUGGCCUUGCGCCG
rnacentral:rRNA from 1 species